rnacentral:lncRNA from 1 species
CUGGCAAGGCCGCCAGCCUGACUGCUCAGGCGCCAGGGCUGUUUCAUUAUUUCAUCAAAGUUCAUUAUGCUGGGGAGGAGACCAGUAAUAAAACAUGAUUACAAGUGUCUCCAAUGAGCACUUAAAGACAUAAUUGGGGGUGUACAUUCUGCUGCAUCCCUGCUUGUGGUCACAUAACGCUAGGAGAUUUGCACCUCUGAUAUAUGCCAGUCUUCGUGUUAAUUGAAGUGAGAAAAAAAAACACCCAGAGAACUUGAUUCAAUUUGUCUCUGGACUGAGUUUGUUGUUGUAUAUGGAGGAAUGAUGUGCCAUUUUUGAAAACACACAAUUAAUUAUGUGUGCAAAAGGCAGGUACAGAGACACAGGAGACAGCGAGGGACUGAAUGGCAGCCAAGCAUAUCAGCUAUCAAUGGCAAAGCACUUGGGGAGAAACGGCUUUUGUUUCUUUCUUUUUCUUUUCUCUAUCCCCUCCCCAGCUCACCUCUCAUCUUUGUGAGACAGCAGCUGGCGACGAAUGCCGGCAAGGUUUUUCCAGAUGGCAUGUCAGGUCCAUGACCAACACAUUGGCAGUGAGGACACAGAAUCCCAUGCCAGU